CCAGUGUGCGACUGUGGUGCACCUUGCCAGACAACUGAUCACAUAGUAAAUGAGACUUAUCCAGUUUGCUGGCUAAUUGUGUGUAUGCUGAACCAAAGAUUUCUCACAGUUGUUUCUGCUGCUGUCUUUUUUUCCAACUUCAUUCACAAUACGUCCUGUCUUUCUCACUGUCAUUUUAUACUUGUGGUCCAAUCGCCCACAACAUAGUGUCAGUUCCAAUAUGAUUGGCCGGUGGCUGUAUCAGUAUUUAUUAUGUCUUUUUUUUUUUUUUUUUUUUUUUUUUUUUGUAAAAUAAAGUUUGUUUACAAAGUACCAAGCUGCUACGAUAAGCACUUCUGAGGUAAGAACUAGUUACUGGAUUUGCCAAAUUUUGCAUCAUGGCACCGAAUUGAUGAGAGAUACUGAAGAGUUUUGUUUGAGGCACUUGGCAGCAAGAAAACAAAGUAUUCUCAAUCACAGCUGCAUAUUUUGCUUUUCUCUUUUUCUAUGUAUGGAUGGAUGGAAAUUCUGACCACAAGGUCUGCUUUUUUUCAACUUAUUGUAAAAUGUUUUUGAAUGUGUAACCCCUUUACAGUAUUUGUACAGUAAAUUAUUGAGGUAUAUUAUCAAUUUCAGAUUUACCCAGCCCUAAACAGCACAUAAGAAAAGUGAACUAUUGUUGGUUGGUCCCCUUUUUUUCUAUUUCAAAAGUUUGAUAUGGCAGUCAAGGGCAACUCUGGUUUGGUCCAUUACCCUUCAGGCCUACAUCAGGCUAAACGGCUUACACAGGUGCUAUAAUAUAUACACUACUGGUCAAACGUUUUGAAACACUUGACUGAAAUGUUUCUCAUGAUCUUAAAAUUUUUGAUCUGAAGGCAUAUGCUUAAAUGUUUGAAAUUAGUUUUGUAGACAAAAAUAUAAUUGUGCCACCAUAUUAAUUUAUUUCAUUAUAAAACUAAAAUUUAAUAAAAAAAAAAAAAAAAGUUUUUGAAAUUGGACCAAAUAAUAAAGAAAAGCAGCCAAUAAGUGCCCAACAUAGAUGGGAACUCCUUCAAUACUGUUUAAAAAGCAUCCCAUGGUGAUACCUCAAGAAGUUGGUUGAGAAAAUGUCAAGAGUACAUGUCUGCAAAUUCUAGGCAAAGGGUGAGUACUAUGAAGAUGCUAAAAUAUAACACAGUUUUCAUUUAUUUUGGAUUUUGUUUAGUCACAACAUAAUUCCCAUAGUUCCAUUUAUGUUAUUCCAUAGUUUUGAUGAAUUUACUAUUAUUCUAAAAUGUGAAAAAAAAAAAAAAUUAUAAUAUAGAAUGAGUAAGUGUUUCAAAACUUUUGACCGGUAGUGUAUAUGCUAUAUUUGCAGAGUUGGUUUGUCAGUUAACACCUGCUCUGCUCUAAGGACCCACUUAUUACAGCACCGUUCUAUGCUAUAUUUGCAGAGUUAGGGCAUUGUUAAUUAGUGCUAAUGACUCAGUCUGGCUGAUCGUUCUUGAUUUCCUUCAUUUGCAAAGUGGAGUUUGAUCCCCUGAGAUUUUGGCAUCCACUUUAAGAGCAAUGCACAGGCUGCUCUUUGAGCCCAGUGCCAUGAUUCUUUACGCAGACAGCCCAUCUGAGAGGGCAGCCACUACCCACUGUGUGCAUGCAUGUGUGUGCAGACGUGCAGGCAGGCAGUAGAAGGCAAAUUCAGGAUGACUCAUGGCCUAGUGGGGCAUGGUAUUAACUUGCUUUUUAGAAUUUCACUUUGUUGUUACUAAAACAUGUAUUAUAGCUUUUUUCCAAAACCAAGUUAGCUGCCUAAGGAGGCAGCAUUUUAAGGCAUCAUUGCAAGCUCCAUGACGCGAAGACUGUUCUAAAAGAGCGCUCAGGUCUUCUGAUCAACUUCUAUUGAGGGUUCCUUGUUGCCGCUAUAGAUCUAAGAGUGACUGUGCCUUUUCUGUGAUUGGUUCUAAUCUAUGGAAUAGUCUCCCUUUCCAUGUGAGGUUGACUUGACUUGACUUGGAAGAUGAACCUUUGGCCCAGUCUGAGGUCCUGAGCACUCUGGACCAGGUUUUCAUUAAGGAUUUCUCUGUAUUUUGCUGCAUUCAGCUUUCCUUCAACCCUGACUAGUCACCCCCAGUCCCUGCCGCUGAAAAACACCCCACAGCAUGAUGCUACCACAACGCUUCACUAUUGGGAUGGUUUCCUCCAGACAUGACAACUUGGAAUUGAGGCCAAACAGUUUAAUCCUUGUUUUAUCAGACCAGAGAAUCGUGUUUCUCACAGUCUGAGAGUCCUUUAGGUGCUUUUUUGCAUUCUUGCACUGAGGAGAGGCUUCCGUCUUGCCACUCUGCCAUAAAGCCCAGAUUGGUGGAAUGUUGCAGUGAUGGUUGUCCUUCUGCAAGUUUCUCCCAUCUCCACACAUGAUCUCUGGAGAUCAACCAGAGUGACCAUCGGGUUCUUGGUCACCUCUCUUACCAAGGCCCUUCUCCCCUGAUUGCUCAGUUUGGUCGGAAUGCCAGGUCUAGGAAGAGUCCUGGUUGUUCAAAACUUCUUCCAUUUAAGAAUUAUGCAGGCCACUCUGCUCUUGGGAACCUUCAAUGCAGCCAAAAUUUUUUGUAGCCUUCCCCAGAUCUGUGCCUUGACACAAUCCUGUCUCUAAAUCACAGUGGGUGGCUGUGGCUCAGGUGGUAGAGCGGGUUGUCCACUACUCGCAGGGUUAGCAGUUCAAUUCCUGGCCCACAUGACUCUACAUGCCAAAGUGUCCUUGGGCAAGACACUGAACCCCAAGUUGCUCCCAAUGGCAGGCUAGCGCCUUGCAUGGCAGCUCAGCUGUCAUUGGUGUGUGAGUGUGAGUGUGAAUGAGACACAGUGUAAAGCACUUUGUAGAACUGCUAAGGUUAAAAAAGCCACUAUUUAAGUGCAGACCAUUUACAGUCCUGUCUCUGAGCUUUGCAGGCAGUUCCUUUGACCUCAUAGCUUGGUUUUUGCUCUGAUAUGCAUUUUCAGCUGUGAGACCUUGUAUAGACAGGUGUGUGCCUUUCCAAAUCAUGCUCAAUAAAUUGAAUUUGCCACAGGUGGACUCCAAUCAAAGUGUAGAAACAUCUCAAAGAUGAUUCAGAAAAAUGGGAUGCACCUGAGCUAAAUUUCAAGUGUCAUAGCAAAGGGUCUGAAUACUUAUGUCAAUGUGAUAUUUAAGUUUUUUCUUUUUAAUAAAUUUGCA